UAAUAAUGUGCUAAUUAGCAAGUUUCACUAUGAAUGCGGCUAAAGUAAACAGUCCCUCAGAGAGCGGCUAGGAAGAGAGGGGCGGAGUCAGCAGAGCUCAUUAACAUUUAAAGGAGAAUGACACAAUACCGCUUGCUCUGACAAGAGCUGUUUUUGACAGGGUGAAAAAGGUAUUUUUUUACACUACCAAUGAGAAAUUUUAACCAAACUAUGUUACAGACUUUUCAUUAAGACCCUAAAGAAUAAUAUCAACUUGUGGAAAAUGGGCAUUAUAUGACCCCUUUAAACUGUCUGAUUCGCUCUGAUACCCUACAUUCUGAAGAGGAACUUUUGGAACCUGAUCAUGAUGGUAUGCAGCACAUCUCCUGUGAUGAGUAUCAUUGUGCCAGGACCACUUCCCACGUAUCAACAAGGACAUUAAUGUUUCGGCUUUUUCAUGCUGAUGGCCUACACCCCAGCAGAGGCAGAGCAGAACUCCUGUCAGACAACAUCUCCAGGACGCUACGUUCCAUGUGACAAAGAGAAGAGCAGCACCACCCCAGGAGGGAUGAACACCAUCUCUUUUCAACAGGUCAGGUCUGCCCCAAAAACUCGUCCAAUUGUCUAUAAAGCCUAUGUUAUUCUGCGGGCACCACUUAGACAUCCAGCCAUUGAGUGACGACAUUCUGCAAUGAAUCUCAUCGCCACGAUCACCAUAGCCACCCGAUCCAGUCUGUAUCUAGAUCAGAUGGUGGAUCAGCACCUAGAGAUGACCUCUACAGCCCUGAACAUCAGCGGAGAUCAGGACACCUAGAUGAACCCCAGAGACAGAUCCCAUUGAGGAUCUCGUCACCUAGACAGUCAUCGGGACAAGACCACGGGAACCAAAUGAGUCCUUUACACAAUAUGACUUUGCUGCAGUUGGAAUUGAACUGCUGGUCCGUCUGGUCAGAGGAGAACUGGCCCCCCGACUGAGCCUGGUUUCUCCCAAGGUUUUUUUCUCCAUUCUGUCACCAACAGAGUUUUGGUUCCUUGCAGCUGUAACCUCUGACUUGCUUAGUUGGGGACACUUCAUUUCCUGCGAUAUCAUUGACUUGAUUGCCCAGAUAUUAUUUAAACUGAACUGAGCUGGACGAUGACAUCAUUGAAUUCAAUAAUGAAAUGCCUUUAACUGAAAAUUGAGUGUUUAAUCUUGUCAUUUUACAUUAU